rnacentral:tRNA from 1 species
AGGGGACUGAAAAUCCCCGUGUCGGUGGUUCGAUUCCGCCCCGAGGCA